AACGCGAAGAACCUUACCUGGACUUGAAGUGCACCGGACCAUCUGAGGAAACUCGGACUUCCCGCAAGGGACCGUAGUAUAGGUGCUGCAUGGCUGUCGUCAGCUCGUGUCGUGAGAUGUUGGGUUAAGUCCCGCAACGAGCGCAACCCUUGUCCUGUGUUGCCAUACCGAAAGGUGGAACUCGCAGGAGACCGCCAGGGAUAACCUGGAGGAAGGUGGGGAUGACGUCAAGUCCUCAUGGCCUUUAUGUCCAGGGCUACACACGUGCUACAAUGGACGGUACAAAGGGCUGCCAACCCGCGAGGGGGAGCCAAUCCCAAAAAACCGUUCUCAGUUCGGAUUGCAGGCUGCAACUCGCCUGCAUGAAGCUGGAAUCGCUAGUAAUGGCGGAUCAGAACGCCGCCGUGAAUACGUUCCCGGGCCUUGUACACACCGGCUAC
rnacentral:rRNA from 1 species